AUGGGUUGUAAACUGCUUUUGUAUGGGGAUAAAGUUAGGGACGUGUCCCUAUUUGCAGGUACCAUACGAAUAAGGACCGGCUAAUUCCGUGCCAGCAGCCGCGGUAAUACGGAAGGUCCAGGCGUUAUCCGGAUUUAUUGGGUUUAAAGGGAGCGUAGGCUGGAGAUUAAGUGUGUUGUGAAAUGUAGACGCUCAACGUCUGAAUUGCAGCGCAUACUGGUUUCCUUGAGUACGCACAACGUUGGCGGAAUUCGUCGUGUAGCGGUGAAAUGCUUAGAUAUGACGAAGAACUCCGAUUGCGAAGGCAGCUGACGGGAGCGCAACUGACGCUUAAGCUCGAAGGUGCGGGUAUCAAACAGGAUUAGAUACCCUGGUAGUCCGCACAGUAAACGAUGGAUGCCCGCUGUUGGUACCUGGUAUCAGCGGCUAAGCGAAAGCAUUAAGCAUCCCACCUGGGGAGUACGCCGGCAACGGUGAAACUCAAAGGAAUUGACGGA
rnacentral:rRNA from 1 species